UAGAAAUAUAACAAACGAUAGGAAAACCAUUCUGUGACAAUGAUAAAUUUAAUUUAUCCUCGGCAAUUUUUAGUUUUACCAAUUUUGAAUAUAUCGCUCUUGUUUAAAACCUCUCAACUACUUCACAAUUGCAUUUCUAACUCUGCCUUGAAGGCAGCUUUACUUCUUGGACUCAUGUUUCUGUGCGCAACGAUGUUGCUAAACCUCCGUUAACAGUACCGUAUGCAGGUCUUUCCGUUUUCUUUCACGCAUGGAUAAAUUUUUCACUAUAGACCUUAAUGGUCGUAAUGACAGUAUAUCAGUGGACAGACUAAAAAAGGUCUUUAUAGAGAAAACUGUCCCUGUUCCCACUGCAGACGACACACACAGUAUUACAAACACGGCCGGUACACCUACCUUUACAUUCCAUGACUACCAUUGGGAUCGAUCAGUGGUAGCUUGUCCAGCCUGGAACUGUAAAAGCCUGAUAAUCUAGAGUCAAUAAAAUCUUGGAAAGCCUAUUUUA